AGCGAACGUUUGCGGCGGGCCUAACACAUGCAAGUCGAACGGGCUAGCAAUAGUCAGUGGCGCACGGGUGCGUAACACGUGGGUAAUCAACCCUUCAGCUCGGGAUAACGCCUUGAAAGGAGCGCUAAUACCGAAUGCGACGCGAGGAGCCUCGGCGCUUCGCGGGAAAGAUUCGCAAGGAUCACUGAAGGACGAGCCUGCGGCCCAUCAGCUAGUUGGUGAGGUAAGAGCUCACCAAGGCGAAGACGGGUAGCUGGUCUGAGAGGAUGAUCAGCCACACUGGAACUGAGACACGGUCCAGACUCCUACGGGAGGCAGCAGUGGGGAAUAUUGCGCAAUGGGCGAAAGCCUGACGCAGCCACGCCGCGUGAGCGAUGAAGGCCU
rnacentral:rRNA from 1 species